rnacentral:rRNA from 1 species
CAGAGGUCCCAAGCGUUGUUCGGAUUCACUGGGCGUAAAGGGUGCGUAGGUGGCUUGGUAAGUUUGAUGUGAAAUCUCCGGGCUUAACCCGGAAAAGGCAUUGAAUACUAUUGAGCUUGAGGAUUGAGGGGGGACUGGAAUUCUCGGUGUAGCAGUGAAAUGCGUAGAUGUCGAGAGGAACACCAGUGGCGAAGGCGAGUCCCUGGACAACACCUGACACUGAGGCACGAAAGCUAGGGGAGCAAACAGGAUUAGAUACCCUGGUAGUCCUAGCUGUAAACGGUGCACAUUUGCUGUAAAAGGAAUCGACCCCUUUUGUGGCGAAGCUAACGCGAUAAAUGUGCCGCCUGGGAAGUACGGUCGCAAGAUUA